GAUGAACGCUAGCUACAGGCUUAACACAUGCAAGUCGAGGGGCAGCAUGGUCUUAGCUUGCUAAGGCCGAUGGCGACCGGCGCACGGGUGAGUAACACGUAUCCAACCUGCCGUCUACUCUUGGACAGCCUUCUGAAAGGAAGAUUAAUACAAGAUGGCAUCAUGAGUCCGCAUGUUCACAUGAUUAAAGGUAUUCCGGUAGACGAUGGGGAUGCGUUCCAUUAGAUAGUAGGCGGGGUAACGGCCCACCUAGUCUUCGAUGGAUAGGGGUUCUGAGAGGAAGGUCCCCCACAUUGGAACUGAGACCCGGUCCAAACUCCUACGGGAGGCAGCAGUGAGGAAUAUUGGUCAAUGGGCGCAGGCCUGAACCAGCCAAGUAGCGUGAAGGAUGACUGCCCUAUGGGUUGUAAACUUCUUUUAUAAAGGAAUAAAGUCGGGUAUGUAUACCCGUUUGCAUGUACUUUAUGAAUAAGGAUCGGCUAACUCCGUG
rnacentral:rRNA from 1 species